rnacentral:rRNA from 1 species
GUAGGGGAGGGAAGCGUGUUCGGAUUUACUGGGCGUAAAGGGCGCGUAGGCGGUCGUGACAAGUCACUUGUGAAAUCUCCGGGCUUAACUCGGAACGGUCAAGUGAUACUGUCGGACUAGAGUACAGAAGGGGCAACUGGAAUUCUCGGUGUAGCGGUGAAAUGCGUAGAUAUCGAGAGGAACACCUGCGGCGAAGGCGGGUUGCUGGGCUGAUACUGACGCUGAGGCGCGAAAGCCAGGGGAGCGAACGGG